CAAUAGCGUAUAUUUAAGUUGUUGCAGUUAAAAAGCUCGUAGUAGGAUUUUGGCUGAGAACGAACGGUCCGCCGUUAGGUGUGCACUGUUUGGUCUCAGCUUCCUGGUGAGGAGGUGUGCUUCACGGCCACUUAGUCACCGUGGUUACUUUGAAAAAAUUAGAGUGUUCAAAGCGGGCUUACGCUUGAAUAUAUUAGCAUGGAAUAACACCAUAGGACUCCUGUCCUAUUUCGUUGGUCUCGGGACGGGAGUAAUGAUUAAGAGGAACAGUUGGGGGCAUUCGUAUUUCAUUGUCAGAGGUGAAAUUCUUGGAUUUAUGAAAGACGAACUUCUGCGAAAGCAUUUGCCAAGGAUGUUUUCAUUGA
rnacentral:rRNA from 1 species